AACGAACGCUGGCGGCAUGCCUAACACAUGCAAGUCGAACGAGAUCUUCGGGUCUAGUGGCGCACGGGUGCGUAACGCGUGGGAAUCUGCCCUUUGGUUCGGAGUAACAGUUGGAAACGACUGCUAAUACCGGAUGAUGACGAAAGUCCAAAGAUUUAUCGCCAGAGGAUGAGCCCGCGUAGGAUUAGCUAGUUGGUGUGGUAAAGGCGCACCAAGGCGACGAUCCUUAGCUGGCCUGAGAGGAUGAUCAGCCACACUGGGACUGAGACACGGCCCAGACUCCUACGGGAGGCAGCAGUGGGGAAUAUUGGACAAUGGGCGAAAGCCUGAUCCAGCAAUGCCGCGUGAGUAAUGAAGGCCUUAGGGUUGUAAAGCUCCUUUACCCGGGAUGAUAAUGACAGUACCGGGAGAAUAAGCUCCGGCUAACUCCGUGCCAGCCGCCGCAGUAACAC
rnacentral:rRNA from 1 species